ACUCAAUAAUAUAAUUACACUAUUUUAGUAGAAAUUACAGAGAAAAAAUACGAUCUUUAAUUUCACUCUAUUUUCCACUUUAAAAUAGAGUUUAGAGUAAAAAUGUUUAAAUGGUGCUCUAUUUUUCACAUUAUAAUAGAGUAAAAAAUAAGUUUACUUUAUAUAUAGAGUAAGUUAUUUUUUUGUUUAUUAUUGUAUCUUAUAUAUUAAAAGAGAAGUCACAACUUUGACUCAUGUGUGAUUUUUUAAAAAAUGGACCUAAUGGACCUAUUACUAGAAAGUCAUGUUACAUUUAAUUUAUAAUCUUACAUUAUUAUAGAUCUAAAUAACUUACUUUCUAGAUUAUAGGAACUAAAUAAUAUGUUUACUACAAUUAAAUAAUUAUCAAUCUUUUCCAAGCCAAAAACGUGAUCUGAAAACAACCAAUUCAAUAAAAAAUUAUAUACAAUAAAAUUAUUAUGUUUUAAAAAUGAUAGACUCAUAUAUAUUAUACUAAUAUAUACCAAUGUAAAAUUAAAAAUAAAAUAUUUAUAUAAAAAUAAAUGAAAAUAAACACCCGCGCGGUUGCGCGGGUCGAGAUCUAGUUUUUUACUUUAAAAUAGAAUACCAUUAAAAUAUAUCAUAACUCUAUUAUAGAAUUAUUAAAAAAUAGGGUGAACCAUAGAAGACGGCCUCAGUUUGGCAAAACAAAGGUAGAAGCUAUUAAAAGACUAGUUAUUAGCUGUAGAGAAAAUCUCCGUUGAAGAAAAGACAGAGAAGAUGGAAUAUAACGGAUCACGUUAUUGAGGCAUGAGAGGCUUUUAUGAGAAACCCUUUUCACUUUUUCAUCAUCUUUCUCAUUUCAAAUGUUAUUAUAACUAGUAACUUUGCGAUUAUAUAUAAGCAUCUAUCCGUUUUAUAUAAAGAUAUGAAAAUGAGGAUGUGGUUGUGUAAUAAUUGGAGAUGCACGUGGGUUAUUGGGUUCUAAAAGCUAACAAACUUACUACAAUACUAAGUAGGAAUAUUUUAGUCAUUUAAAUUCUUGUCAUAAAAUGGUACUAUAGCAAUUGUUAACUGGUCAUGUAGCAUUAACAAGGAACUUAUCAAAACGCAAUAUGAGGUGUGAUAACAACUGUCUAAGAUGCAGAAAACCUAAAGAAUCAGUAGUCCAUGCCAUCUUUGAAUGUCCACCAGUUCUGCUGGCUUGGUCUUUAUCAUCAACUCCAACAAAUCCAAAUUUGUUCCUAGUAUCAAGCGUCUGCACAAACAUGGAUUACCUAUUCUGGAGGAAAAACGACAUCAUUGAGCCAUAACAAGACAGAGAUCCUGAUAAUAUGGUAUAUCUAGAAGAGUAGGAAUGACAAACUUUUCAGGAGGAUAGACAAAGAGAACCAUUAGAGCUGGUUAGAUAUGCAGAAAGUGAAUGCUAAGCCUGGUUUGAUGCGAAUGAAGUGUCAAAACCAGUGGUACAGAAAAACAAUACUGAAGAACCCCAAGUCUUAAGCUUAGGUAAUAUUUGCUUGUUAGAUGGAUAUUGGACAUCUACUGCUCACUUUAGUAGAUAUGGAUAAAUUUGGAUGAACAGUGGGGGGAACAUACAGCUUAUGGGGACCAGAAAUAUCACUCGACCCGAAUCGGCCCUGCAUUCGGAACUAGAAGCACUGUGAUGGGCAAUGGAGAAUAUACUUCAACACUCGACAUGUUAGAGCUUUGGGACAGACUGUAAGGACUUGAUCGCAAUGAUAAAAGAACCUCAUGCUUGACCAAGCUUUGCGACAGAAUUGGAGAGGAUAGAAAUGCUUCAAAUAUGCUUCACGGACUUCAGCAUCACUCAUGUACCAAGAGCGUGCAAUCAGAUUUCAGACUUUUUAGCUAAAACUGCGAGAUCCUUCCAUAAGAAAUUACUUUUUAUUGGUUGUUCUAUUCCGGUCUGGUUACACAGUCCACUUUAACUUGAGUAAUAGAAUGGCCUUUCGAUGUCAAAAAAAAAAAUGGUACUCUAAUUUUAUUUAGAAGAUAAAAAGUGUAUCCUUUAUGUUUUUGGUUACUAGUCUGUUUUAUUUAUUUCUCAUGUAUGAUAUAACUUUUGCUUCUAAUAUUACAAGCAAUAAUUAUAGACAUUACUUUUUUAUUUAGAUAUUUUCCUGAACUCAUUUAUUGUGAUUAACGUAACUUAGGUGCAAUUUCUUUUCGAAAGAAAACAUAUAAAAGUGAUGGAAUGUGAAAAUUAAAAAUCACGAAAUCCAAAAUGUAUUUAACUUAAAAUGGUGUAUUAUAUUAGCCAAUAGUUUGCUAACCUGUUUUUCAAAGAACUUAAACACUUUGCCUAAGUUUAUUUUCUUUCAUUUAUCCAUGUUUCUAGGUUCACUAGUCUAGAUCUCUUUUACUUAAAAAGAAGCAGUGUUCUAAAAUACGGUCUAGGUGUCUGUUUAGGCGGUUUUUAAGCGCUAUACGGUAGCCAACCGUAUUGUUUUUAUGUUAUAUAGUGUUUUAUGCAGAUUUAUAUAAUCCGGGCGAAUAAUAGCAUUUAGGCGGACAUUAUUCGGUCUACGCGGACGUCUAGGCAGAUUUUAAGCAUCUUUUAUAUAUUUAAAAUGGAUUUAACUUUUAUAAUUUAAAACUAUUUAUAUAUGUUAAACUAUAUAUUUAUACAUAAAAUUGGAUUUAAAAAAUAUUUAUGUUCAGUUUUUUCAAAAAUAAUGUAUAUAUUAAUCUUAUAUUUACGUUUCGGGUAAAAAUAUAUAUCCGUAUAUAUCUCGUUUAGACGUCCGCUAUACGACUACGCGCUAUACAGUCAUGUAACGCGUAAUGAACGCCCAACGCAUUUUAGAACACUGAAAAGAAGACUCUUGACUGUUGCUUUUAAAUGCAACAGUAACUACUCUUAGGCUCAAAACUUGUAAAAAUUCAAUGUGGGUUUUUUUUAUAAAUACCUAAAGUAACAUAUGAAGUAUAUGUAUAGAUUCAUUUAUUUAUUAUUAGUUUGAAUCUGCUUUAGAAAUACAUAAACUAUAAAACCUAUAAACUAUAAAACCUAUAACCUAUAACCUUUACAGCAAUGAUUUUGCCAAACCCCUAAAAAGAGCUUAGACAAAACAAACCAUAGAAAAUGAAAGUUCACUUAAGAAAUUGGGGACAUAUAGGCCCAUAGUGUUUUUGGAUUGUAAAUCAGAACAGAUUAUAACAAAAAGUGAACCGAAAAUUUAUGUGGACCAAUAGAACUAAUUGCCAAUCUGAACCGGACGCGCGUAAAUUUUACUCUUUGCUACAUUUGUUCCGGUGAUUAGAAGAAGUGAAGAACAUUCCCCCCCCGCAAACCCGUAAUUAAAAGACAAAACAAAAAUCUCAAAUUAUACAAAAUAUAGAUGUUAUAAAUCCUUAUUUGUUUUGCUUCAUUGCUUAGUUAUGAUGUUUCUGUUUCUUUUUUUUAAUUCUUUUUAGAUAUGUUUGUCACGUUUGAAGUCAGUGCUAUACUACACACAAACCAUCCAUCUGCGGCUCGACAGGGAACCAAAUACUCUCUCACCUGCAAAGAGAUUGGAAAAGAUUUGUGUGUAUUCGGAUGGUUUAUUCAAGUUUGUUUGUGUUCUUCAAAUCUUUGGCAGAAGCUUUUAUGUGACAAUUUUCACUUGCAUUCAGUGUACCAAGAUUAUACAGGUUUAUGUACUUCAAACAACUCAGCUUGAUUUGUCAAAUUUGGAUCUUAUCAUCUUAAUAAGGCACUCUACUAAUGUAAUUAUACUGUUAAUGGCUUCAGCUAACCGGUUGUUUUGAUAUCAAACAUCGAAACCGUGAGUGAUCUGUUAAGACAAGCCAACUCGAUGCAGGUAGAUCAUCACAGUCACAUGGACUUGCUUCAUACUGGUUUUCGUGUUGCAGUCUGGUAAAUCUAUUUUGUGGAAAAGAGAUUACAUGUCUCAGACGUUACCUACAUAAAGCUCGUAGCCAUGGCCACCAACAUCAAAGUGUAUUUAUUCUUACUCUGACCAGGUACCAAAGUGUAUUUCAUAGUCACUCAAAGAUUAGCUCUUUCCUCUU